UGCCCAUAAUAGGCACGGGUUGUGAGAGCAAGAGCCCGGAGACGGUAUUUGAGACAAGAUACCGGGCCCCUAGGGGCGCAGCAGGCGCGAAACCUUUACACUGCACGAAAGUGCGAUAAGGGGACUCCAAGUGCGAGGGCAUAUAGUCCUCGCUUUUCACCUCCGUAAGGAGGCGGUAGAAUAAGUGCUGGGCAAGACCGGUGCCAGCCGCCGCGGUAAUACCGGCAGCACGAGUGAUGACCGCUCUUAUUGGGCCUAAAGCGUCCGUAGCUACUUUCC
rnacentral:rRNA from 1 species